rnacentral:sRNA from 1 species
CGCAAUGGGCGCAAGCCYGACGGAGCAAUACCGCGUGAGGGAGGAAGGCUCUUGGGUCGUAAACCUCUUUUAUCAGGGAAGAACACAAUGACGGUACCUGAUGAAUCAGCAUCGGCUAACUCCGUGCCAGCAGCCGCGGUAAUACGGAGGAUGCAAGCGUUAUCCGGAAUUAUUGGGCGUAAAGCGUCCGCAGGUGGUUUUGAAAGUUUGCUGUCAAAGCGCGAGGCUCAACUUCGUAUCGGCGGUGAAAACUUCAAGACUAGAGCUAGGUAGGGGUCACGGGAAUUCCCAGUGUAGCGGUGAAAUGCGUAGAUAUUGGGAAGAACACCAGCGGCGAAAGCGCGUGACUGGGCCUGAGCUGACACUCAUGGACGAAAGCUAGGGGAGCGAAAGGGAUUAGAUACCCCUGUAGUCCUAGCCGUAAACGAUGACAACUAGGUGUUGCCCGUAUCGACCCGGGCAGUGCCGUAGCCAACGCGUUAAGUUGUCCGCCUGGGGAGUACGCACGCAAGUGUGAAACUCAAAGGAAUUGACGGGGGCCCGCACAAGCGGUGGAGUAUGUGGUUUAAUUCGAUGCAACGCGAAGAACCUUACCAAGGCUUGACAUGUGCAGAAUCCUCUUGAAAGGGAGGAGUGCCUUCGGGAGCUGCAACACAGGUGGUGCAUGGCUGUCGUCAGCUCGUGUCGUGAGAUGUUGGGUUAAGUCCCGCAACGAGCGCAACCCUCGUUUCUAGUUGCCAUCAUUGAGUUGGGCACUUUAGAGAGACUGCCGGUGACAAACCGGAGGAAGGUGGGGAUGACGUCAAGUCAGCAUGCCCCUUACGCCUUGGGCUACACACGUACUACAAUGCUACGGACAAAGAGCCGCAAGUUCGCGAGGACAAGCAAAUCUCAUAAACCGUGGCUCAGUUCAGAUUGCAGGCUGCAACUCGCCUGCAUGAAGGCGGAAUCGCUAGUAAUCGCAGGUCAGCAUACUGCGGUGAAUACGUUCCCGGGCCUUGUACACACCGCCCGUCACACCAUGGGAGUUGGCCACGCCYGAAGUCGUUACUCCAACCGUUCGCGGAGGA